rnacentral:lncRNA from 1 species
GGAUACUAUAAAGAUUCCUUCCUGAGAACUUUUAUUAUGUCUAAUUUCUGAAAGGAAAAAUAGCAAGAGUGAGUCAUUUCUGGUAUAUUUUCCAGAUAAGCAUGACAUGCAUCCAACAAAUAAUAGCAUGGCCAGGUGCUACAUCCUAUGUCAUGUCAGCCAAGUCCACAGCCAGCAGCUUGUGGGUGGGGGAAGGGAAUCCAAAAAACUCCAUGUGAGAGGUUGGAGGGAGAUACAAAAGCUUGAGAUAUACUACUUCUUUAUAUUAAAAAUAAGCCUAUGAUGCAACAUGAUUCACCUCUUAAGUGUGCAGCCAGAUCACUUCCCCUAGUUCAGCAUCAUCGUCACAGCCAGGGUCUGCCAAACACAUUUCCCGGUGAUCUGAACACCAAAUGUGUAACUCGUUGCAAAUGCAGCUAAAAGAAAUGCUCUCUUUCUUAUUGUUCUGCAGGGCUCCAAGAUACAAAUUUGCAUUUGGCACCCAGGAAUAUCCUGCUUCCAAGAAAGCUGGCCAACAAGAAGUCCUAGAAAUAUCACGAGGAAAUUCCGAUAUUCUGAACAUCUUCUCCAGCCAACUAAAUAUGUGCAGUAGUCCUAUAAUGUUCACUUCUAUGGGAGUUUUACCAAUGACUUCCACAAAUCCUAAAUUCAGAUGAGCUUUCAAGACACAUCUGAAUAGCUAGAUGCUUACCUGACCUGCACCUAACCUCCCAACCUUUUGUGGCUGACAUCAUCACUUAAUAUCGUAUGUGCAAGUGUACAGACACUACGGACAGAUGCACACAGACUGCUACAACAUCAUUUACUUUCACUUUUUUUCCCCUUGAGCUCCUUUUACUGUUCAUGGACAAGUUUCUUCCUCUGCAUCAUCAACUUCUGGGGCUGCCUGCCCUACAUGGAUGACAGGUUAAGGAGUAUAAUCUGUCUGGUUAUACGCCAGGAAGCAAAAAUCUAAUUUUAGUAAACAAGUGUUGAUGUAAAAGGUCAUCAAAGUCUGUCAGCCCUUACGUGGGAAUCGGGAAUGAAGCACUGAAAAGUGGGGAUGUUGCCAAGAACAUGACUCUAAUAGCUUAACAUGCUGCCAGUGACAUGUAGGAGUGUCAAAGGCAAGAGGAUAAAUCCUUGAAGGACGAGAUAGAUCCUGCCUUUGCUGGUCUGGAGGAAAAAAUACUGAAUACAUAUGAUAUACACCUCCUGCUAGUGCAGGAGGGAUAGUAACUGGCAAAAGCAAUAGGAUCAGUUUUAGUCAUCUCAGUUAAUAAACGUUGCUGGCCAGAUUGUAAUUAAAAACUA